GAUGAACGCUAGCGGGAGGCUUAACACAUGCAAGUCGAGGGGCAUCACGGGUAGCAAUACCUGGUGGCGACCGGCAGACGGGUGAGUAACGCGUAUGUAACCUACCCUGUACAGGGGGAUAACCCGGAGAAAUUCGGACUAAUAUCCCAUAAUGAUAUCUGGGGGCAUCUUCGGAUAUUUAAAGUUCCGGCGGUACAGGAUGGGCAUGCGUAACAUUAGCUAGUUGGUAAGGUAACGGCUUACCAAGGCUUUGAUGUUUAGGGGUCCUGAGAGGGUGGUCCCCCACACUGGUACUGAGACACGGACCAGACUCCUACGGGAGGCAGCAGUGAGGAAUAUUGGUCAAUGGGCGCAAGCCUGAACCAGCCAUCCCGCGUGCAGGAAGACGGCCCUAUGGGUUGUAAACUGCUUUUCCAGGGAGAGAAACUUGCGUACGCGUUGCGCAAUUGACGGUACCCUGGGAAUAAGCAUCGGCUAACUCCGUG
rnacentral:rRNA from 1 species